CAAUAGCGUAUAUUAAAGUUGUUGCGGUUAAAAAGCUCGUAGUUGGAUUUCUGUCAAAGGUGAGGUGGUCCAUCUUAUGGAUGUGUAUCUACCCGUACCUUGGCAUCUUCUUCAAGAACGCUGUCGCGCUUCACUGCGUGAUGCGGUAUUGAAGACUUUUACUUUGAGGAAAUUAGAGUGUUCACGGCAGGCAAUCGCUUUGAAUACAUUAGCAUGGAAUAAUACUAUAGGGCCUCGGCUUUAUUUUGUUGGUUUCUAAAGCUGAGGUAAUGAUUAAUAGGGAUAAUUGGGGGUCUUUGUAUUGCAACGUCAGAGGUGAAAUUCUUGGAUUGUUGCACGACAAACUACUGCGAAAGCAUUGACCAAGGAUGUUUUCAUUGAUCAAGAACGAAAGUUAGGGGAUCGAAGAUGAUCAGAUACCAU
rnacentral:rRNA from 1 species